UAGUACGCACCUCGCGGGACUUUCGGAUAAUUUAUCACCGUUUAUCGUUUUUGAAUAGCCGGCUACUUGAAACAGAGCCCCGAGGAACCACGACGUGCGUGGAGCUGUCUGCACGGCAUGCACGCAAAACUCUGCACAAGACCGCUGAAUGGCAGCAGCCUCUUCCAGUACACUCCAAACCCAUGAUGCCGUACCUCAGGGUUAAAUAUGAAUUUGGCAUCAGAAGAGGAGUUACUCUGGACUAACAUGGCUUCAGCUGUGCCUCUCUGCCUGAAGGGAGAACACCCUCGACUAACAUCAGUCAUUACUGGACACAGCGGAGCACAUACCAGCUGGAGGCUCUAAAGAGGAGCAGAGGCCAGAGCAAAGCCAAAAUAACUUCAGGUAAGGGGGUGUUUUGUUCUGGUUCCAGCAGCAGCUAGGAGACUCCAGGCAGAGGCUGCUGCACACUGGGGAGAAGUCAUUUGGUGGAUUCACAGCCCUCCCAGGAAUAACAAAACUCUUUUCUCUUCUCAUUAUUUUGACUAUUUUAUUUUUAUUUGUAGAUGAAAAUAAAAGAUAUGCAGUGGAUUUAUUGACUCAGUAUCUAUCUUUAAUAACCUGUCUGUCACAUUCUGCCUGUGGGUUCAGUCCGGUCUGUUGUCCUGUGUCCAGUCUGUUAAUGUCAUUGUGAGCUCUGCCUGAUUUGUCAUCCGUUUGGUGUUUAUCUCCCUGUGUUUACCUGUUCAGUUAUCUUAGUCUGUGGUUGAGUUUGUCAGUGUUGUCCUAUUACCUUGUUGUCCUUAGACUCUCUGUGUCAUUAGUUCGGUCCCUGUUUGUGUUGUUGCUAACGCCUUGCGUUUAACUCCCUGUUUCUGUCCUGUUUAGUUUAAACCUUAGCAGUUGGUCCAUGUUUUCUGUUUGUGGUUUUGGUUCCUGGUCUUGUGUUCUCUGUUUAGUCUUGUGUAUUCCCUUGUUCAUUUACUGGUUCUGUUUAGCUCACUUCGUACCUGUCUCUCAUGUAUUCUGUGUAGCCUUGUUGUUUAUGUUAUUCAUCCUCAUCUUUAAGUUUACUUAGUAACCGUCUUGUUUCUUAGGUUUAGCUCUGCACCUCAGCCCUGUGUCCUAGUUGUGUCUCAGUUCAUAUCUUAGUGUUUACGUUUGGUCUGUGUACUUGUGUGUUCUGGGUUAACUGUCUCUCUGCUGUCCUGCCUUUCUGUUACCCACUGUUGGCUCUGCCUGCCUGCCUCUCUCUCUGUUUUCCUGCUGUCUCUCUGCCUGCUUUGUUAACCUGAUUCCAGUCACCUGUGUUGCUCCCUACCAGCUCGUUAACCCAUGUGUGCUUAUAUACCUGUUUGUUUCCUCAGUCUGUGUCCGGUCAUUGUAGUGUAGUGUUCAUGCAGUCUGUUGUGUAGUGAUGAGUGUUCUGCUGUAUUUUGGAGCUUGCUGUUGUGAUUUUUUGUA